rnacentral:rRNA from 1 species
CGCGUGGGAACGUGCCCUCUUCUACGGAAUAGCCCAGGGAAACUUGGAUUAAUGCCGUAUACGCCCGAAAGGGGAAAGAUUUAUCGGAGGAGGAUCGGCCCGCGUUGGAUUAGGUAGUUGGUGGGGUAAUGGCCUACCAAGCCGACGAUCCAUAGCUGGUUUGAGAGGAUGAUCAGCCACACUGGGACUGAGACACGGCCCAGACUCCUACGGGAGGCAGCAGUGGGGAAUCUUGGACAAUGGGGGAAACCCUGAUCCAGCCAUGCCGCGUGAUCGAUGAAGGCCUUAGGGUUGUAAAGAUCUUUCAGCGAGGAAGAUAAUGACUGUACUCGCAGAAGAAGCCCCGGCUAACUCCGUG